rnacentral:rRNA from 1 species
AUCGAACGCUAGCGGGAUGCCUUACACAUGCAAGUCGAACGGAGUGGCGAACGGGUGAUUAAUGUCUCGGAACGUGCCCAGUAGCGGGCGAUCACUACGCGAAAGCGUAGCUAAUACCGCAUACUUUUGGAGCGCCCGAUAUCGGCUUAGCUAGUUGGUGGGGUAACGGCUCACCAAGGCGACGAUCCGUAGCUGGUUUGAGAGGACGACCAGCCACACGGGGACUGAGACACGGCCCAGACGCCUACGGGAGGCAGCAGUGGGGAAUUUUGGACAAUGGGGGAAACCCUGAUCCAGCCAUCCCGCGUGUGCGAUGAAGGCCUUCGGAUUGUAAAGCACUUUUGGCAGGAAAGCGGUACCUGAAGAAUAAGCACCGGCUAACUACGUGCCAGCAGCCGCGGUAAUUC